rnacentral:rRNA from 1 species
GAUGAACGCUGGCGGCGUGCCUAAUACAUGCAAGUCGAGCGAACAGACGGGGAGCUUGCUCCUCUGACGUUAGCGGCGGACGGGUGAGUAACACGUGGAUAACCUACCUAUAAGACUGGGAUAACUUCGGGAAACCGGAGCUAAUACCGGAUAAUAUAUUGAACCGCAUGGUUCAAUAGUGAAAGACGGUUUUGCUGUCACUUAUAGAUGGAUCCGCGCCGCAUUAGCUAGUUGGUAAGGUAACGGCUUACCAAGGCAACGAUGCGUAGCCGACCUGAGAGGGUGAUCGGCCACACUGGAACUGAGACACGGUCCAGACUCCUACGGGAGGCAGCAGUAGGGAAUCUUCCGCAAUGGGUGAAAGCCUGACGGAGCAACGCCGCGUGAGUGAUGAAGGUCUUCGGAUCGUAAAACUCUGUUAUUAGGGAAGAACAAAUGUGUAAGUAACUAUGCACGUCUUGACGGUACCUAAUCAGAAAGCCACGGCUAACUACGUGC